UGGGGAAUAUUGGACAAUGGACGAAAGUCUGAUCCAGCAACGCCGCGUGAGCGAUGAAGGCCUUCGGGUCGUAAAGCUCUGUCAGAUGGAACGAAAGAAGUUAACCUAACACGUUAACUGUUGACGGUACUAUCAAAGGAAGCAUCGGCUAACUCUGUGCCAGCAGCCGCGGUAAGACAGAGGAUGCAAGCGUUGUUCGGAAUUACUGGGCGUAAAGCGAACGUAGGUGGUCUCGUGUGUCUGGUGUGAAAGCCCUUGGCUUAACCAAGGAAGUGCGCCGGAAACUGCAAGACUGGAGUGUAAGAGAGGAUGGUAGAAUUCUCAGUGUAGAGGUGAAAUUCGUAGAUACUGGGAGGAACACCGGUGGCGAAGGCGACCAUCUGGAUUAUAACUGACACUGAUGUUCGAAAGCGUGGGGAGCAAACAG
rnacentral:rRNA from 1 species